GACCACUGAAAAGAAGGAAAGAAAAAAAACCCAGGAUUUAAUGGAAAUUUAUUGUAACAUAAGAUUCAGAAAAAUUAGUACAAAGUAUUAAUUUGCAGUAAGAGCAAAGAGAUAAGAAAUAGAACAUGUUUGAAAAUAAAAUUAAAAAAUAUAUGGUGAACUGGGCAUGGUGGCACAUGCCUGCAAUCCCAGGAUUUGGGAGGCUGAGGCAGGAGGACUGCCAUGAGUUUGAGGCCAGCUGUUAGGUUACAUAGUGAGUUCAAGGUCAGCCUGAACUAUACAGCAAGAUCCUAUCUCAAACCAACAAACAAAAUUUACAUUUCAAAUUUUAAUAUAAAGCAUUUUAAUUCUAGGUAAACAGAGAAACUUGGUAAUUUGCUCCUCACAAAACAGAUUAUCAUAUUUUAUUCAUUCCCCACCCCACAAGUUUUGAGGAAGGCUGGACAAAUUCAGGCUAAGUUUAAACAUAUUUUAGCUCUGGGGAUAUUUUUUAAAGGUCAUGAUGACACUGAUAAUGUUACCCUGCUCUUUGCAAACCUAAGAAAAAGACUUUUCUGGAAAGGCAUACUUGAACUGAAAUUUAAAAAUAGAAAAGAAGCUAGUUGUACAAAGAAGUGCGAAGAGAAAUUCAUGUAGAAACAAAUACAAGUCGGAAUUUCAAGGUAUAGAAAGGCUGAUGGACUUCAGACAGCAUUUUGUAAAUCUUUGCUGGUUUCAACGCAGAGAUAAAGAAAUACUUUUUAUGUUAUAAACCAAUAUACAAGCGCACAGGCCCAAAAUAAAACCUAAGAUCAUUACUUCACCAUAUACUAGUAUACUUCCUUAUUUCUCAUUCUAUUGUGUUUCUUAAGAAGCAAACUGCAGUCAUGAUUCACUAGGUUGAUUUUAGGGCCCAUGAGUGGUUUGGGAGAAUUUGGGGAAAGGGAACAGAAGCCACUGGGUUGGGGACAGUAAGGGAGGGAGGUCAGCAUGCAGGCAUUUUCAGGCUGGGUCAGACACAAGAAAGCUCUUCCCUUCCCUAUAGAACAGAACUUCCACCCAGCAUCACUUCUUCUAGCUCCAAGAGCUUCCUUUACAAUGCCUGUAAUUUAGUGUUUUCAUUCAUUUGACUUAAAAUGUAAUUAAAAAUUUAGCUCAGCGGCAUAAGCACCUGCCUUGCAAGCAAGUGCACAGUUGUGAGUUCGAUCCCCGGUAUUGAUUAAAAAAAAAAAAAAAAGUGGGGGAGGCUGGGAUUUAGCUCAGUGUCAUAAGCACCUGCCUGGCAAGUGCAAGGUCAUGAGUUCGAUCCCUAGUACAAAAAAAAAAAAAAUUUCAUUCAUUUAACCUUCAGUUUGGUUGGAAGGAUUUCUCCUUGAUCCAGAACUCCAAGUUAAGUGUCUUUUCUUGGAGCACAUGCGAGACAUUGCUGCCUUCUGGCCUCAGUGAUUUCUUAGGCGAACUCUGUGGGUCUUAGCAGAUCCUGCAGCUGCUUCCCUUUCAAAUGUAACGCAGGUUUUCAUUGGUGGUGUUUUCUUCCGGCUGGCUGCUUUUCUGGUAUCUUUUGUUUUUAGUAGUUUUACCAAGUUAGUAAAAUUUACCAAACUACAAGGUUCAUUUUUCCAUUUUUUUCUUUUUGGUUAAAUUUUAAUAAUUUAGGGCUGGGGAUUUAGGUCAGUGGCAAAAUUGCCUGCCUAGCAGGCUCAAGGUCUUGAGUUUAAAAGAAAAAAAAUUAUUCAUUCUGCCCAAGUUUUCACUGAACUUACUGAAUCUAUGCUUGCUGUUUUGAAUCAAAUUUGGAUAAUUUUCUGGCCACUAUUUAAGCUAUUUUUCUGAAACUUCAUUUACAUGGAUAUUCUCCCACAGGUCUGUAAGAUUCUCUUUGCCUCUAAAAUUAUUUUCUUAAAUCAUGUUGGAUUUUUAAAAAAUGUUCAGUGAUGAUUUCACUUCUGUCCAGGUCCAGCUGAUGAUUUUUUUAAAGUUUGGUACAAUUUACAGUAAAAUUCACCCUUUCAAGUUUCCACGUGGAUGCGUUUCACAGACGCAGUGAAAAUCAGAGAGACUGCUGCAGUCAGUAAGAAAUUCUGGCCCUCUCCGAACUUUUCCACACACACACUUGUGAUUGCCCCACCUCCCCACUGACCACCGCCAACCCCAAACUCUUCCUAACACAACAGUGUUGUUUUUUCAGAUUGUCAUAUAGACGGAAUUAUACGGCCUUUAGAGAAUGGCUUGCAUUACUCAGCCAUUUGGGACCCAUUUGUGUUAGUGAGUUGUAUGUACAUGGAUGAUUUUAAGUCAACAAGUGUGUUUCAGAUUGCCUGUUUGAAUUCUUACCAGCAAAGUUAUGAGAGUCCCAGGUGAGUCGUAUAUCCUCCCCAGUACGCUGUGUGGUUGGGAUUGUGCGUGUUUAAAGGUCAGCUCUUCUAAUGGGUGUUUCAUGGCAUCGCGUUUACAGAGAUGAUUUGGUUUCUUCCUUUCCAAUAUGUAUCCUUAUUUUUUUCUCUUGCCUUAUUGCACUAGGUAGGACCUCAAUAACAUGUUAAAUGUUGAGACGAUAGUGCAUAUCCUUGCCUUGCUUCUGCUCUAGUUUGUUUUUUAAUUAGAAGGAAACGAGUCUUUCACCAUUAAGUAUGCAUCAGCUAUGUGAGUUUGUAGAUGGUCUUUUUUUAGACGGAGUGAGACAGUUAUCUUCUAUUCCUAGCCUGUUUUAUCAUGAAAAGAUGAUGAAUUCUAUCAAACAGGGUUUUUGUUUGUUUCUUUUUUGGUAUCUAGUAAGAUGAUACAAUUUUCUUCUUUGUGCUCUCUCAAUAUAAUAAAUUAUUAAAUUUUGUAUUGAAAUAACCUUGCAGCCCUAGGCUAAAAUCUACUUGUUAAAGAUUUAUUGUUUUUAAUGUACCACAUGAUUUAAUCUGUUAAUAUUUUGUUGAGGAUAUUUAGUUUGAUAUUCAUCAAGGAUAUUGUUUGUAACUUUUUAUGUUUUUGUCCAGGAGAUAUUGUCUUCAUAAAAUGGGUUGAGAAGUUUUGCCCCCCUGGAUUUUCUUGAAAAGUUUAUAUAGAAUCGCUAUUGAUAACUCCUUAAUUGUUUUGUCAAAUUCAUCAUGAAGCCAUCUGGGCUUGCAGUUCUCUUUAGAGAAAGAUCACAGACAAAUUCUAUUUCGGUAAUAGAUAUAGGACUAUUCAGGCUAUUUCUGAGAGAGUUUUGGUGUUUAGAUACUAUUAAGAAAUUUGUCAAUUUAAUUUAAGCCAGUAAAUUUAAAGGCAUUAAAUUUUAUGUAAUAUUUGUUGCAAUAUUCCUUUAUGCUUUCCUUGUUCACAAGAUAUUUAGGAUGUCCUUUUUUUCAUUCAUAGUACUGGUGAUUUGUGUUUUUUUUCCUUUGGUCUAUCUGGCUGUAGCUUUAUCUAUUUUAUUUAUCUCCAAGAACCAGCAGUUGGUUUUAUUGAUUUUUUUUUCUAUUCAGUUUCAUUGAUAGCAGGUCUGUUUUUAUCAUUUCUUUCAAUUUGCUUGCUUUGGGCUGAAUUUGCUAAAGUUUUCUUAAGGUACAGGUUUAGAACAUCAAUGUAUGACUUUUUUCCUAACAUAGUUAUUUCAUGCUAUAAAUUUCCUCCUAAGCAUUGCUUUAGCUGUAUUUCCCAAAAUUUUGAUAUAUGUUUUUUAUUUUUGCACUAUUAACAACACUUUCUAAUUUCCUACCGGACUUCAUUCAGCUAUUUUGAGUUAUUUUGGGUUAUUUUGAGGUGUGUUGCAUAAUUUUCAAUUAUUUUGGGAUUUUCCUUGAUAUCUUUGUCAUUGAUUUCUGCUUUCAUUCCAUUGUGACCAGAUAAUAUACUGGUCUUAACUUUUAAGUAUUUUUUUAGAAUGCUCUUAUUGCUAGGACAGUUUUCUGUCUUAGAGAUGUUAAAUGUUGUUAUGUUUUGCAUCUGGAUGUCCCCACAAAGCCUCAUGCCAUCAUGGGGCCAGGCUUCUAGAGUUCGUGACUGAUUCAUGGUCCAAUGCUGCACCCACCUUAGGGUGGGUAGCCUAUAUACAAUAUAAGGGACAGAAAGAGUCAUCUUUUGCUCUCCUUCCCUUUUUGCUGUUUUCUACUACCAUGAACUGUUUUCUCUGUGCUACACCACCCUGCCUUCGAGCCAGGUGAUUGUGGACUAAAAUCUCCACAAACUGUGAGCUAAAUAAAUCUUUCCUACCUUUAUUUUGGGUGUCAGGAAUUUUGUCUCAGCAAUGAAAGAAAACUAACCAAGAUAGAAUUUGGUCCCAGAGAAGUGGGGUUUUGCUAUGACUCUACCUGACCAUUUGAUUCAAAGGCCUUUGGGAAUGGCUUGUAGGAAGAAUUUGGAAAGAUUCUGAGAUGUUGUCUGAAAGAGUAGAGCUGGAAUGCCUUAGGUUGUUCUAUACAGGAGAUUCUGGUCAGAGAUCAAAAGAAGGCUGAUAGAAAGCCUGCCAGUAAAGACCAGGUUUGGGAGGUUUCUGCUGGGAAGGACUGCAUCAGCUGUCAGACUCUAGAUGAUAUGUGUUAUGGCUUACAAGAAAUUGUGUCUGCGUUUUGCUCAUGUCCAGAGACUGCCUGAGACUGUGAUUAAGCACAGUGGACUAAUCAGUCUGGCAGAAAAAGUUUCAAAGUAGUCAAAUACUAAGGCUGUGGUAUGGCUAUUGUUGGGGGCUUCUAGCCUGAUUUAUGUUAAGAACAAAGAGCAGAGAGCCUAGCAGGAUGAUUUAAAAUGUUGUGAGUUUGUCCAGAAAGGAAGUUCCAGUAACGCCGUGGACAGCAAAGAUAGAUCAAAGGACAGCUUCAUUGUUGAGAGGGAGCAGAAUAUAAAUGAUGGCCUAAGGGCAUCACAAGAAACAGCAAGACAUCACAUUUUAUAACCUCAAAACUGCAAAAGUAAAAAGACAUUGCUUUGAGGAGAAAGCCACAGAACACUAAUGUUCCAGAAUGGCAGAAGCGUACAGAAUAUGUUACUAACAGUGAGGUUCAGAGUGCCAAGUGAUCCAAGUACUCGACCUCCACGGCCAAGAGAGAGAAUAUGAAUGCCUGGGAGCCCGGCAGUGUGUGAAGUUGUAAGUGUGAAACCAAAGGUAAAGUGGAGAACCCAGAAGGUUGGAAAAGCCAGAAAUGUGGAUUGUCUGAGGAAAACUGCAGAGUAGGCCCAAGACAGAAGCUGUGAGAGCUACAACCACCAGCAGUGCCACAGGAGUGGAGCCACACAAGCCUUUUGGAGCUCACAAUUUACUACAGAUUGCUGUGGAUGUUCCAUAUGGAACUAUAGGGCUUAAUGUUUGUCCUGCUGAAUUUCGGAUUUGCUUUGGUCCCAUUUCUCUGUAUUUCCUUGUUUGUAACUUUUGGAAUGGAAAUGUUUAUCUUAUACCAGUGCAUGUUGGAAAUGUUUGUUUUCAUUUGUACAGGGGUUUGAAGCUAAGAGUUUGCCUUACAUCUUGGGACUUAGACUUUUCAGCAAUGCUGAAACUGUUAGGAUUUUGGCAGCUCUUGGAGAUGGACUAAAUGCCUUGUGCAUAAAGGACGUGCAUGAGUCUUUAGGGGGGCCAUGGGCAGAACAUUAUUUUUUGUGUUUGGAUGCCCCCAAAGCCUUAUGGGGUCAUGGGGGCAGGCUUCUAGAAUUUGUGAUUGAUUCAUGGUUGUGGGUACUCCACCCAUUCUAAGGUAGGUGGCCUACAUACAAUAUAAGGGACAGAAAGUCUUCUCUCUGUAUUCCUCCCUUUUUGCUCUUUUUGCUUUUGCUGUUUUUUGAUGCCAUGAAUUGUUGUCCUCUGUCAUGAACCACCGUACUUUGGAGCCAGCAGAUCAUAAACUGAAAUCUCCACAAAUUAUGAGCUAAAUAAACCUUUCCUUCCUAAA